GUGCCGACAGGGCGUCGGGCUCGGCACCGGUGGGGUUCACGGACUCGCUCAUGGCACGCUCCACUAGGUCUCCGGGUUCGACGCCCGGCUCGGUGUG
rnacentral:tRNA from 1 species